UACGGAGGUUGCAAGCGUUAAUCGGAAUUACUGGGCGUAAAGCGCACGCAGGCGGUUUGUUAAGUCAGAUGUGAAAUCCCCGGGCUCAACCUGGGAACUGCAUCUGAUACUGGCAAGCUUGAGUCUCGUAGAGGGGGGUAGAAUUCCAGGUGUAGCGGUGAAAUGCGUAGAGAUCUGGAGGAAUACCGGUGGCGAAGGCGGCCCCCUGGACGAAGACUGACGCUCAGGUGCGAAAGCGUGGGGAGCAAACAGG
rnacentral:rRNA from 1 species